GCCCUCGUAGAUCAACGGUAGAUCAUCCCCCCUGAAUUGGUAUUUCAAGUGGUUUUUCAGUGGACGACGUGGGUUCGACUCCCACCGAGGGCG